rnacentral:rRNA from 1 species
UACGAAGGGGGCUAGCGUUGUUCGGAAUCACUGGGCGUAAAGGGCGCGUAGGCGGCUUUAUAAGUCGGGGGUGAAAGCCUGUGGCUCAACCACAGAAUUGCCUUCGAUACUGUAGAGCUUGAGACCGGAAGAGGUAAGUGGAACUGCGAGUGUAGAGGUGAAAUUCGUAGAUAUUCGCAAGAACACCAGUGGCGAAGGCGGCUCACUGGCCCGGUACUGACGCUGAGACGCGAAAGCGUGGGGAGCAAACAGG